UCUGGUUGAUCCUGCCAGUAGUCAUAUGCUUGUCUCAAAGAUUAAGCCAUGCAUGUCUAAGUAUAAGCAAUUUAUACAGUGAAACUGCGAAUGGCUCAUUAAAUCAGUUAUCGUUUAUUUGAUAGUUCCUUUACUACAUGGUAUAACUGUGGUAAUUCUAGAGCUAAUACAUGCUUAAAAUCUCGACCCUUUGGAAGAGAUGUAUUUAUUAGAUAAAAAAUCAAUGUCUUCGGACUCUUUGAUGAUUCAUAAUAACUUUUCGAAUCGCAUGGCCUUGUGCUGGCGAUGGUUCAUUCAAAUUUCUGCCCUAUCAACUUUCGAUGGUAGGAUAGUGGCCUACCAUGGUUUCAACGGGUAACGGGGAAUAAGGGUUCGAUUCCGGAGAGGGAGCCUGAGAAACGGCUACCACAUCCAAGGAAGGCAGCAGGCGCGCAAAUUAUCCAAUCCUAAUUCAGGGAGGUAGUGACAAUAAAUAACGAUACAGGGCCCAUUCGGGUCUUGUAAUUGGAAUGAGUACAAUGUAAAUACCUUAACGAGGAACAAUUGGAGGGCAAGUCUGGUA
rnacentral:rRNA from 1 species